AUUGAACGCUGGCGGCAUGCCUUACACAUGCAAGUCGAACGGCAGCGCGGGAGCAAUCCUGGCGGCGAGUGUCGAACGGGUGAGUAAUACAUCGGAACGUGCCCAAUCGUGGGGGAUAACGCAGCGGAAGCUGUGCUAAUACCGCAUACGAUCUACGGAUGAAAGCAGGGGAUCGCAAGACCUUGCGCGAAUGGAGCGGCCGAUGGCAGAUUAGUUAGUUGGUGAGGUAAAGGCUCACCAAGCCUUCGAUCUGUAGCUGGUCUGAGAGGACGACCAGCCACACUAGGACUGAGACACGGCCCAGACUCCUACGGGAGGCAGCAGUGGGGAAUUUUGGACAAUGGGCGAAAGCCUGAUCCAGCCAUGCCGCGUGCAGGAUGAAGGCCUUCGGGUUGUAAACUGCUUUUGUACGGAACGAAACGGUCUUUUCUAAUAAAGAAGGCUAAUGACGGUACCGUAAGAAUAAGCACCGGCUAACUACGUG
rnacentral:rRNA from 1 species